GACGAACGCUGGCGGCGUGCUUAACACAUGCAAGUCGAACGGAAAGGCCCUGCUUUUGUGGGGUGCUCGAGUGGCGAAGGGGUGAGUAUCACGUGUGUAUCCUGUACUUGACUUUGGGAUAUCUUCAGGAAACAGGGGCGAAUACAGGAUAGGAGCUCCUGCUGCAUGGUGGGGGUUGGAAAGUUUCGGCGGUUGGGGAUGGACUCGCUGCUUAUCAGCUUGUUGGUGAGGUAGUGGCUGACAAAGGCUUUGACGGGUAGCCGGCCUGAGCGGGUGACCAGCCACCAUGGUACUACGAUACGCAGCAGAAGCGUACGGUCGGCAGCAGUGGGGAAUUUUGCACAAUGGGCGCAAGUCAGAUGCAGCAACGCCGCGUUCGUGAUGACGGCCUUCGGGUUGUAAACCGCUUUCGCCUGUAACGAAGCCUUAGUGACGGUAAUUAGUAAAGAAGCACCGGCUAACUACGUG
rnacentral:rRNA from 1 species